AGCGAACGCUGGCGGCAGGCCUAACACAUGCAAGUCGAACGAAGUCUUCGGACUUAGUGGCGGACGGGUGAGUAACACGUGGGAACGUGCCCUUUGGUACGGAAUAACUCAGGGAAACUUGAGCUAAUACCGUAUGUGCCCUUCGGGGGAAAGAUUUAUCGCAAUUGGAGAGGCCCGCGUCUGAUUAACUAGUUGGGGAGGUAAAGGCGCACCAAGGCGACGAUCAGUAGCUGGUCUGAGAGGCUGAGCAGCCACAUUGGGCCUGAGACACGGCCCAAACUCCAACGGGAGGCAGCAGUGGGGAAUCUUGCGCAAUGGGCGAAAGCCUGACGCAGCCAUGCCGCGUGAAUGAUGAAGGUCUUAGGAUUGUAAAAUUCUUUCACCGGGGACGAUAAUGACGGUACCCGGAGAAGAAGCCCCGGCUAACUUCGUGCCAGCCGCCGCUGUAAUAC
rnacentral:rRNA from 1 species